AUUGAACGCUGGCGGCAGGCCUAACACAUGCAAGUCGAACGGACCCUUCGGGGUUAGUGGCGGACGGGUGAGUAACACGUGGGAACGUGCCUUUAGGUUCGGAAUAGCUCCUGGAAACGGGUGGUAAUGCCGAAUGUGCCCUUCGGGGGAAAGAUUUAUCGCCUUUAGAGCGGCCCGCGUCUGAUUAGCUAGUUGGUGAGGUAAUGGCUCACCAAGGCGACGAUCAGUAGCUGGUCUGAGAGGAUGACCAGCCACAUUGGGACUGAGACACGGCCCAAACUCCUACGGGAGGCAGCAGUGGGGAAUCUUGCGCAAUGGGCGAAAGCCUGACGCAGCCAUGCCGCGUGGAUGAUGAAGGUCUUAGGAUUGUAAAAUCCUUUCACCGGUGAAGAUAAUGACUGUAGCCGGAGAAGAAGCCCGGCUAACUCUGUGCCAGCCGCCGCCGUAACAC
rnacentral:rRNA from 1 species